rnacentral:rRNA from 1 species
GUGCCUACGGGAGGCAGCAGUGGGGAAUAUUGCACAAUGGGGGAAACCCUGAUGCAGCGACGCCGCGUGAGUGAAGAAGUAUCUCGGUACGUAAAGCUCUAUCAGCAGGGAAGAAAAAAAGUCUUUGGCUUUGGACGGUACCUGACUAAGAAGCCCCGGCUAACUACGUGCCAGCAGCCGCGGUAAUACGUAAGGGGCAAGCGUUAUCCGGAUUUACUGGGUGUAAAGGGAGCGUAGACGGCAGCGCAAGUCUGGAGUGAAAUGCCGGGGCUCAACCCCGUACUGCCGUUGAAACUGCAUCCCUU